UUUCCUGUGGCUCAGUCAGUAGAAUGUUGUGUUAGCAACACAAAAGUCAUUAGUUCGUAUCUCAGGGAAA